GAUGAACGCUGGCGGCGUGCUUAACACAUGCAAGUCGAGGGGCAGCACGGUGUAGCAAUACACUGGUGGCGACCGGCGCACGGGUGAGUAACACGUGUGCAACCAACCCCGUACCGGGAGAUAACCCGCGGAAACGUGGACUAACAUCCCAUAACACUGGAGGAUCGCAUGAUCUUUCAUUUAAAAUUCCGGUGGUACGGGACGGGCACGCGCGACAUUAGGUAGUUGGCGGGGUAACGCCCACCAAGCCGACGAUGUCUAGGGGUUCUGAGAGGAAGGUCCCCCCACACUGGAACUGAGACACGGUCCAGACUCCUACGGGAGGCAGCAGUGAGGAAUAUUGGUCAAGUGGGGGAAACCCUGAUGCAGCGACGCCGCGUGAA
rnacentral:rRNA from 1 species